UGCUGCAGGUCUACUGGACUCAGGGUAGAACCUGGAGGAGCGUUUGUUCUCAGGACUGGAGCGAGCAGCAGGGCAGAGCCAGCUGCCAGCAGGUCGGAUACAGCAGGGACACAUAUUUUGAAUCAGGCCAACAGCAGACUGACACUGAUGAUGGGUUCCUAAUAUUAAAGUCUGACUUCAACCCUACAGCACCCAUAAUGCAUCAGCUCGUGCUCAGCAAAACCUGUCCCAACAACAGCGUGGUGACGUUGCAUUGCACUGACUGUGGGAGGGGGCUAAACUCCAGCAGGGCCUCGGGGGGGCAGCAGGCCUCUCCCUGGCAGGUCAGCCUGAGGGUGGGGGUGUCCCACCGCUGUGGAGGAGCCAUCAUCUCCCCCUACUGGAUCCUCACUGCAGCACACUG